GCGCCACCUUGACACUGUUUCGAUGGUUUGGGCCGCAUGAGUGCAGCCCUGCUGGCCCUCCUUCAGGGCCUCAGCUUUUCUGAGCGUCGGUCGCCGAGCUGCCCCUCGGAAGCGGCUGCUGGUUUUGGCCGAGGCGGCUUUGGGCAGAAGGAAGUGGACGGGUGAUUCAUUUCAUAAAUGUUGGUUCCUCCAGAGAACUGAACAGAACCUGCGACCCUGCAGGUGCUUUUCAACAAGUGGAUGACUUCCAGGACGCUCUAGCCAAUGAAGAUGGAGCAGGGACCCUGAGAUAGAAGGCUUCAUUUGGCAUGACUCAGCCUUGGAGACAUCCAUCCCCUUGGCCUGUGUUGUUGAGUGCCUGGUUCUGUAAAUAUUGGCAGUUAGAAACCAGCCUGAGAGCUACCAAGCAAUGAUCUGGAAGCCAUCUUCAUAUACACAGCUGCCUUCAACCUGUGUCCACGUAGGUCAAUUCCCAGUUCAUGAUGUCCUUUUAGCGAAUGGAAUGGUCCAGGUACUUGUGACAAAAUAUUGCACGAUGAAGUCUUUCCAUUGGAAUAAUUGACUGUAUUUCAUUUUGGUCCUUAAAAUAUAUAAACUUUGCCCAUCAAAUUUUGAGUUGGAGAAAAUUCGUUGAGGAGGCUAUUGUCAUCUGAAGACUCAUUGUCUGGAGUUUCCCUCAUACUAUCAAAUUCGUCAUUGUCCUUGGAGCCCAAGUCUGGCCGCCUCUGCCUUCAUCUUCUGAUACAUUGAAGGAUUGUGAAACAUCUUCCUUUAUUUUUUCCUCUUUGCCGUGAUAAAUGGAAAGCAAAGGAAUUCACUGUCUUCUACUAUGUUUGAUGCAAGCUACAAAGAUGGUGUGUCCAGUCUUCUCUUAUUCCUUCUUAAAGAUGAUGCCAUACUUUUGGCAAUGCAAUGGGAAAGCCUUGAAUGAUGCAGUUGUGUUGAUUUAUCUCAUUAUUGCAUUAUCCUCUGAAUCCAGGUCAUUCCACCAUUCUUCUUCUUCUUUCAUAUUGGUCAGAAAAACUCAUGAGUAAUGAUGAAGUAGCAAAUGUUAUUCGAUGACAUGGGAAAAUAAGCACCCUAAGUCACUUAGAUGUACAACAGGGUCCAAUGGAUGCUAUGGUAAUAUAGAAUUAAUCUUAUUUCUUUAAGAAAAAUAAGUAAUUUUUUUUCCUUUGGAAAACUUAUAAUAAAGAAUAAAAAUUAAGUGAUAACUAAUCCUUACAAAAAAUAGAACUGCUCAAAAAAGAAACUCAAAAAUUAAAACUCGGGAGUUCUGUGGUGCAGUGGGUUAAGGAUCUGUCAUUGUCACUGCAGUGAUUUAGGUCACGGCUGUGGCUCGGGUUCAUUCUUUGGCCCAGGAACUUCCACAUGCUGUGGGCACAGCCAAAAAAAAAAAAAAAAAAAAAAAAAAAAG
rnacentral:lncRNA from 1 species